rnacentral:rRNA from 1 species
GACGUAGGGGCGAGCGUUGUCCGGAAUUACUGGGCGUAAAGAGCACGUAGGCGGGAACUUAAGUCAGGUGUGAAAGACCGUGGCUCAACCACGGGGUGGCAUUUGAAACUGGGUUUCUUGAGGGCAGGAGAGGAAAGCAGAAUUCCUGGUGUAGCGGUGAAAUGCGUAGAAAUCAGGAGGAAUACCAGUGGCGAAGGCGGCUUUCUGGACUGACCCUGACGCUGAGGUGCGAAAGCGUGGGUAGCAAACAGGAUUAGAUACCCCCGUAGUCCCUGAGCGGG